GAAACACACACACAUUGUGGGAUUCGUAAACACAUAGCACGCGAAACACAAACACAUUCACCAAAUGUGUGUGUGAAUUGUUUUACGCGCAUUUGUAACGUGCUUCCAAUUACAAAUUCCCACUUACGAAUGUGUGGAUCGUUUUGAUACCCGUCAUGCGCAACUGAGAAGAACACAUGCAUUUUUUUAACUGGAGCCCGUCUUCAGCCAAUCAGACGUCUUCUUCUUAAACAGCCAAUCACAAGGGCUGGGCUGUUUCGUUACGUCACUGCUGUGCGCCUUCAAGUCCGGCUGGAGAUUCCUUUUAGACUACGACGCAGUUCAUGCGGUUGUCGUGCAGGUGAGUAAAUUUCUAAAGUAUUUUCUUUUUAUAGUGCCUUUUGACCACUAACCUAUGUAAGCAAUUACAUAUACACGAAAUACUUAAUUGGAAUAUUGUUGAUAUUGCAAGACAAAAGCGUAACGAAGUUAACGUCUCAUGAUAAGGAGUAAACACGUGCUUCCUUGCUUCUAUUGUUGUCGUUGGAAGGGAGUAAUAUUUCUAAAGUAUAUUCAUUGUAUAGUGCGUUUUGUCCGCUAACCUCUGUAAGCAAAUACAUAUACACGAAAGACUGAAUUGGAAUAUUGAUGAUAUUGCAAGACAAAAGUGUAAUGAAGUUAACGUCGAAUGAUAAGCAGUAAACAUGUUGGUCGCCAAGGUUUUAAUGGCGAUUCGGUUAUUGUUCAAGAGAGAUUUUUUUACAUUAUAGCCGGUUAACAGCGUACGGAAGUUAGCAUUGUAUGAUAUAAGCAUUAAACAUUUGGGUCACCUGGGUUUUAAUGGAGUUUCGUGCUUGAAUUCAUACAGAAAUUAACCAUAUCUACAAAUGGCUAGUGACCCAAUUAAGCCAUUAUAUUUUGAGAAAGCUAAGUCCUAUAUAUAUUAAAAAAAUUUCAAAAAAGCUUAACUGCUAAUCAUUGUUUUCGGGAGUGUAUGUAUAAAGUAUUUGGAAGUCAUUUUUCAAAUGUGUCUUUCUGUGCAUGUGCUUUACAGUUGGUGUACAACAUGGAGAAGAGUUUCCAGGAGAUUUUCAAUUUUAUGUCUAGGGGUGAAUUCCCUAAUUUAUAGUGAAUCUCAGAAAUGUGCUUUAAGAAGAUAUAUGCAGAAGCUCAAACUGAAGGUCCCGAACAGAAGCACGAUCACUGUUUAAUGAAGUACACUCGGCUUCAAUUGGUGCACACACAGGCACUGUUAAAACCAGAUCCUCAAUGUACUCCAGAAAUUAUUGGGAUGGCAUGACAGUGGACAUUGACUGAUGGGUCUCUGAAUGCGACGGAUGUCAGAGGACUGGUAACUCUUUGGCUGUGUGUGACACAGCCAUUACAAAGCAUUAAGGUGUCUGCUGUUUGGGAGUUGGUUGGGAUAGACCUGACUGGGCCUCUCCCAAAAACCAAGGAUGGCUUUCAGUACAUUCUUACUGCCACCGAUUAUUUUUCCAAACACAGAUGCCCCCAAAGAAUCCUGUCCGACCAAGGAAGAGAAUUUGUCAAUUAGCUCAACGAUAACCUUUGUGCCCUCCUGUGCAUUGAAAGGAGUGUUACAGCUGCAUAUCAUCCUAAAACGAAUGGGCUGGAUGAGAG